rnacentral:lncRNA from 1 species
UUACUCACAUGCGCUAUUAUUCAUGAUAGACAAGUAUAUGGAGUGCUGAGCAAGGAUAUCCCCUCUAUAAAUCCAUGAUCUCACCUUCCCAAAUCCUAGUUCUUUGGCUAAAGCAUUCCAGAUCUCUCAAAGCUUCCCUAUUCUCUACCAAAGCCUAAGAACUCUGUAGAAAUUACUAAAAGUUAUUAGAGCUAGUUCACUAAAAGGCUGAGACAUUUAGAAGAUUGGAAUGAAGGAUCGGUAGUCAAAGAAGUUCAACAAGAAAUCUAAUUCAAAUCAGCUUUUAAAAAGGUAAAUUAAAACUUUGAUUUCAAGCAUAUUAUUAGAUGAUGGUAGUGAGCAAUUGAAGAAAUUUCUUGGUGAUUAUAAUUGAUGCGUAAUGUUUCUAAGUUGGUUUAUAAGUGAUUCUUUAUAUGAAAUCUAGAUAAGAUUUAAUAAGAGGUCUAUAAUCAAAUGAUUUACAAAUGAUGUAUUCAUAUUAUUUGUGAAAUUGACUAAAUGAAAUGUUUUUUCAAAAAUCUAAGAGAAAGUAGAAGGAUGCAACUGAGAUAAUAAUUGAUGAUCUGCUAUAGAUAAGGAAGGUGUCUCUACAAGUCUGGUAUGAUGAGUAGUUAUCUGGGUACCAUGUUAAAUUUUUGGUUUGAAAUACCCAAACUCUGCUGAACAGAAGCAUUUUUGAACUGCAGUCGAAGUGGCGCGGUCGCGCCACUUCUUUUGUUAAAACCACCGCGCUCGCGCUGUUCUCAGAUUUUGAAAAUUAAUUUCUUUAUUUCCUGAGCUGCUGGGCAUAUAGGUUUAACUUGUCUAGACUUAAAAUUAUGUUUGUAGUGAUACUCUAGAUAGUUAUGUUGGAAACAGUUGUUUAACUUGAUUAUAUAUGUUUUCAAAAGAAAAAUUAAUGAGUUUGGAAAGGGAAGUUAUGAGUCUAAAUUGGUUUUCAACUUUCAAAGUCCUGGUAAGUAAGUAUAUGCAUGAUACGAUAAAUGGUGUCAAUUGUCUUUUAAUUUGAGAAGUAAAUAUUAUAAAUAUGUAUUUAAAAUACUAUUCAGACCUUCUGAUUAUCAAACAGGUUUUGUUUAAACUGUUCAGAGGGUUAAAAUGGUAAAAUACUGUUAUUCAGACAUUUUAGAAAAAUUAAUUAUCAAACAGCAUUUUUGCAUUCAGACGCAAUUCUAUUCAGAUGCUCUAUAUUAUUCAGACGUCUAAACUGUUCAGGUCUUAACACUCAGUUUUAUCAAACAUCACCUUAGUAUUGUAGGUUAGACUUAGUAUUGAAAUUAUAAAAUUAGCGUAGUCUGUUUAAGAAAGAACAUCUUUCUGUUUUAGUUAUGGAGAAACGGACACGAAAGCUUUUUAUAAGCUAGCUAGCUUAUGGAUUGAGUACAAGUUCUGCAACAAUAUGUUUUGUGUUGUGUAUAUAUAUAAUUAUGUAUAUUCAAAGUUGGAUAAUUAAAAAAUCUUAAAAUUUAACUCAUUUCUAUUUGUUUAAAAAGAUCGAAUGGCCUAAGAUUUAUCUAUCUGCAUAAUAUAACAUCGCACAACAUGAAAAUUCAAAAAUUAUAUCUCAUCCGCAACAUGAUGGGAAUAAUAAAAUCACAUAAAUAAAUAUGGGAUAUAUAUAUAUAUAUAUAUAUAUAUAUGUAAGUGUACGUAUAUCGGUAUAUAUGGAAAAAUACUAGUAGUCCGAAUCUUUCAUAUCAUGAAUAAUAGCGGUAUAUAUGGGUAAAUUCGAAUCUUUUGUGUUUUUACAUUUGCUUCCCCGGAUAUUUGUUUGCUAGCUUAUUAUUACAAUAUUUCAUAUCAAGGUACUCAUGGACAAAAUACCAAGCAUUGAGAGGCUUCUAAAAACCUUAAAGAGGAAGGAGAUCAAGAAUGGCUGCAGAUAUCUCAAAUGCAUUCAAGGUAGUUCCAUGAUCAGUUCAAUGGUGCUUGCUUCUUUUAUUUAUAUUUUCUGUUAACAAUCAAUAUAUAUUUGUUGCAAGCUUCAUAAAUGUUUAAAUUUCUCAUAAUAAAUGAUUAAAGCAAAAUUUACUCUAUGCUGGUUGAGAUUGAACAUUGUGUGUAUUUUGGUUCUAUCACACUGUUUUCAUGCAUCUCAUAUUUUGGUCCUGUAUUCGUCUAGCAAUACUAAGUGUUAACGCCAAGAUCUUCUGUCACGUCCCAAUCACGUAAGAAGCCCUGAUCCUGCACAGUAAACACGAUAAACACCAAAAGCUUGACGGCUUCGACCGUCGGGGGAUAGCUCAGGCGUGAGAGUCAGUAUCGGUGUUCAUAAGGUUAAAGGUUAAAUUAAAAAUUAAUGAGUUUGGAAAGGGAAGUUAUGAGUCUAAAUUGGUUUUCAACUUCCCUGCUAUGAGUAUAAUAUGAUAACUUUGAGCCUAGUCUAAUAAGAAUUUAUCAGAGCAAGGAAAACCUCAAUUUUUGGCCUCAGCCAGAGUGGCGUGGCCGCGCCAUUUCUAGGCUAAAAGGCAACGCGGUUGCGCUGGGCUGCAAGCAUGCCAGGAAGGUUUAUUUAUGAACUAAAGUCUGGAUAUGUAGUUGUGUAGGUCUCUUAAAGUCACUCUGCAUGAUAAUUGGUAUAAUUGGAUUAACUAAAUAUAGUGAGGUUAUGUUAAAGGCUAAGAUUACUAAAAGAUUAACAAAUCAAAUAAAAUGUAUAAGAAGAAUAAAACUUAAAGUUCAUGAAGGCUAAGUUGUGUAAAUUAUAUGACUGAUAUUUGGUAUGUAUGAUCAUAUGACUGCAUAGGAUUUCGUGAAGUACAUGUAGUUAUACGUUGUAAUCUACAAAUCAGGCAAGUCUUCUAGUUCCUAUGUGCUAUAUAAACUUGACAUGAUUACAUGAAUUACAUAUUAUGCUUAUUGAAUUAUGGAAGUCAGCUUAUGACUUGAACGGAUUGAGUUUUGGUACUCAGUCUUGACGUGAUAUGUGAUAUGUUAAACAUAUUAAUCAUAUCGUUUGAAGUUAUAUUGCAUGCCUACUUUAAGUAUGAACUGAGUAUGAAAGUAUGUGUUAUAUGAUGCAUAAAAACUAUUAGAUUUGCUGAGUUGUCAAGCUCAAUCUUGCAAAAUAAACUUUUUCCAUGUUAAGGAUUCAAAGAAAGAUUACCUGCUAUCUGGAUAACAAUGAAAAGAAGGCUUACAAAGGAAUGAUGUUUUCUUUAUUUGAAAUAAAACCUAUAUAGUGUUAAGAUGAUGACGUACAAGAUACAAUGAAAAUUGUGAAAUGUUCAAUGAAUGUGAAUGUUUGUUUUGAAAUGAAAAUGUAUCGUGGUGUUUGUUUGUAUGUAGAAUUAUACAGGUGGAACAUCAAUAUAAAAGAUUUUAAGCAUUGGUACUUAACUCUCAUAGUUCACUUACUCUAAUAAUAUAGGGAAUCGUAAAGGUUGCGAUUCAGGGAAUGCAAGAAAGAAAGACAGGAAAAAAAAUUAAUUAUCCGCAUUUUCAGCCGAUAUUGCAUCCAAUUAUUAUAUAAGACAAAACUUAGAUAGUAUUGAACGCACACAGUCGAGACUAAGUUAGUCAUAAUUUUGGAUUAAGUUGGUCUCGAUUGUGGGGUCGUCACAAAAUCUAUGUUUCAAACCAAGAAAACAUAUCCAAAUUGGCGUUAAAAGCCCUUGCAUUUUCCCUUCUUACUUUUGCUUGUCCUACCCGCAACUAUAAAGAUUGAGUUUCCUCUCCUAGCCUUUUUCCUAUAAGAUAACAUCAAAAACACAUAUAAACAUAUAAAAAUAACUUAAAAUACUUAAGAACACACAAAUUAUCAAGUUAAAAGAUAAUUAAUGACAAGUAUAAAAUCGGAUAAACUUUGCUCCUCAUCCCGAGAUAAUUCAAUCUCGGGCAGAGGAAUGGUUGAAUUUAACAGCUUAGAAUCCCCCCUAGCAUCUCGCAACUCAGUUACACACUGGUUCAGUCUUGUAAUUUAUUUUUUAUAUGAGUUAAUUAAAUUAUUUUAUUAACUACCUAAUAUUAAUAAGUACUAAAAAUUGAUAGUAGUCUUACUCGUAGAGCUAAUGUUGUGGAAGACAUAAUAGAGUUCUUUGGUGUGGGGCUCUAUCCCAGAACUCUACAAUAAUCGGAGGUUGGCCCAAGCUCACCCGCAUGGCCUAAUAAAUACAUUCAUAUAACAUUUAUUAAGUAUGCUGAUGACAAUUGAGUAACUAAACAACUAAAUACAGAUACUUAAUGACUUCACCACCUCAAAGGAAUGUGAGCUAGUAGUGUGUACGACUCGGAGCUGGACACGAUUCUUCUUUGCCUGCUCAGACUUCUUCUUGAAGUCAUCAACAUCUUAGUGCGUACACAUGGCCUCCCAUGCUGCAUCUGAGACUAUCUGGGACUGAUGAUCUCGUAUCGUGGUCCCGGGCUAGUCAGCAACUGCUUGGGCGGCCCUCUGACUCAUGUCAUAUAGUCAGCUGGCGCGUAGUUCUUCGCGAAAGUACAAUAAUAACAUUAUCGUCGACUGCCUUAGAGAUGUCCUCUUUAUAUCUAUAAUUAUAUAAAAAAUAAUAACUUGUCAAAAAAAUAAUUAUGUGUAACUACUAUGCACGUAUAUUGAGUAAUUUAAAUCAAUUAACUUACAUCAAACUCGCGCAAUACAGUCAUCAUAAAGGAAGCAUCGUAAUGCGUGUACUAGCUGAAGCGCAUACAACCAGUCGGGAGGUGCAUCGAACAUAUGGCGUGGACGGUCGCCUUAGGGACCGGGUCUAAUAUACUACAAUAAAAAUAAAAUAAUAUUGUGUAUUGUUAAUUUUGUUAUCAAAUAAAUUACAUUGAUUUAACUACAUAUUUCUUAUUCUCUAACACUUACUGUGUAGAGUCGACAUCCACCCGGACUAUAACUGAAACUGUCGACGAACGACCAAAGAUACCGAGGUUAGUCCCACGGUGACAUCGACGCCCAAUAUCUGUAAUUAUUAUAAUAAUUGAGUUUAAUAUAAAAUUUUCAUAAAAUAUAAAAGAGUGAAUUGAGAAAUAUCAAAAUCAUGACGACGACAACUUACUAGCUCCUGAAGACGAGUCGCCGGUCUAGCCACCGUCUCUUGAUCCUGAUUGGCCACCACCGCAGCUACUACCAUUAUGUUUGGCAUAAAUCUACUACUGAAAUAACCAAAAUAAUGUAUAUGAAUUUGUAGUUAAGUUAAUUAAAUACGCAGUAUUAAUAGUGAAUUAUUUACAAAACAUAAAUAAGUUUAGACUUCGUACGUCAUCAAACUUGUCAAAAUUAACAUCAUUAUCAUCCUCGAAUUCUGUCUCUUCCUUUUCAUUAUCAGUUCCUUCGUCAUUAUCAUCUUCAACGAUGAUAUACUCAUUCACAACCAUGUCUUCCUCGACUUCCACAUCAUCUAGUACAUAAACGACAUCAUUUGUCAUCACAUCGUCAUCAUUUAACAUUACUUGUUUGGGAUUGAUAACAUCUUCUUGCUACGACUCAUCCGUCCCAAACAUAUUAGCACCAUUAAAUGCCUGAGUUUUCAUUGUGACAACUAUAUACCAAGGACCAAUGACUUCUAUUAUUUACUACAUUAGGAGCAUAGUACACUUGAGUCGCUUGACUGGCUAACACGAAUACGUCAUCAAAAUUUUGUUUUGACUUUAUAUAUAUCUAUUGUAACGAUUUUAUUACAAUCAAAUUUAACACUCUUUUCGGUAUCAAACCAAUAACACUUAAAUGAAACUACAUUUUUACCACCAAGAUAAUUGAGCACAACCACAUUCUCUAAACGUCCACAGUAAUUGAACUUAGAAUCAUGGUAACAGUUUCCCAACACGACAACGCCAUAAUUGAUUGAUGUGAGUACAUUCAACUCAUCGACCUUGAAUCUAUACCCAUUCGCGAAGCAGCCGAAUAAUGAACUAACAAGCUUGUAAGGACCUCGGAUGACAUCUCUAAAACGCUCAUAAACAUUAUCUUCUUCAACCCUUCUCUUAAACCACUGUUGGAAAUUAGCAUUAGUAAAUGUUUCCAAUUGUGCUGCAUUUAACCCCGAGUUAGAAGCACACACUUCCUCUUAGAUUGAAUUGAAAUAAUAAUAACUAGAUUUAAUUAUUGAUUACGCUUCUAAAUAUUAAAGAUUUGAAAAUUAAUAAUACAUACUUGAUAUAGAACGAUACUUCGAGCAUAUUUAGAAGCACGUAUGUAGAUCCAAUAUUCAAAUCUUUGUCGCUUAGUAAGUCAUCAUCUCGUGACCAAAUGGUUUAGCCGGAUAUAUGAAUACAACUAACUAAUCAGCAUGAGAUUGAGAUCUGACGACCUCAUUCCUACUUAAACGGUUGUGCUUCGUUGAGACAACAUCAUCAAAGUAUAAGGAGCAGAAGUUGAUAAGCUCUUCUGUUGGGUAUUGCAUAUUUAAAUUUGAUGUUGAAAGUAAAUAGUCAUGCUUAUAUGUAAAGUCCUUCAAAGAACAUAUGUACAAGGACUUAGAUGAUAGAUCAAAAUUGUUAGGUUGAUCUGUGCUUUAUGUUUAUCAUUCUGUAAAUGAAUGUAUAGAAGAAAAGAUCAAAGUUGUUUGGUUGAUCUAUUUUUGAGAUGUAAUAGAUAGGCUUUAAUAGAAUCGUAGUCUGUCAAGCCAGCCAAGAGUUUGCAGAAGCCAAGGCAGAAUCGUAGAGCAUCGAGAAUCGUAGUCUGUCUGCUUUAGAGGGCCUCUCCCAGUAAUGUAGAGUGGUCCAAACGCCUGCCGAGAAAAAUCAAGGAUCGUAGUCUGUUCUUGGAAUCGUAGAGUCUGCAAAUCAAGCAAGCGAAGAUCGUAGUCUACCAGUGCUUAAGAAAAAUCAUAGUGUUCUCCUCUAUCAGUCCGAAUCAAGCACAAAUGUGAUAAGACACCACGAUCAUGAUCGUUGUGCAUCAUCUGUCUGCAUCAGAAGCAUUGAGCUUUGUCCAUUUGUUUAAAGAUAAAUUACAACAAAUGUGGAAUGGAUUAUAGACGUUGAAACUCUCGGGAAUCCCAAUGACACAACACGCAUCCUUAGUAUAUAACAAAUAAACGAAUCGAAGAAGCUAAGGAAAAUACUGCAUGUCAGCUGAAAACACAUUUUCAGGUAUUAGGUGAGAUAACAGUCUGCUAUUCAGUGGGCCAGACGGCUGGACCGAAGAUUUUAUUAGAAGUUUCCAUCAGUGCUCAGAAAUGUCAAAUACAAUUAAUGCUUCAACGGAUGCCUUCAAAUGGACAUAUUUCAAAGGCACCUUAUAUACAAAUCAGAUGGAGAUACAAGAAAAGAAGCGAGCACAUAAUGAAAAGCUGAAGAACACUCAACGCUCAACUCUACGAUCUAGAAAGAAAGCUUGCUUAGCUACUCAGUUCUUUAGAACACAUGCUUAGCAGCAACUGAACAACACAACUCAAAGAACUCAACUCUCAUCAAGUGUAUUCCAAGUCUGUUGGACUUGAAGAGUUCUAAGUGAACUAAGAACCUCCAAGACUGCCGGUCUUGAAAGAAUUUGUGAGAUUCAAAAAUUGUAAAGACAUUGUAAAGACAUCCUUAGUGGAUUUUCUGCUCGAGGAGUAGAAGAGUGGACUAGGAGCCUUGAGUGCUCUGAACCACUUAAAAUCUCUGUGUCUUUUAUAUUCUUGCUUUAACUGCUUGUGAACUAUUAACUCCAUUUAUCUUAAAGGGGAACAAACAAAUCAUAUAUUCCGCUGAAAUUGAUUAACAAAUCUGACAAAGUAUUUUGAAAAAGAAAUUUUAAAAUAUAUAUUCAACCCCUCUUCUAGAUAACUGUUGUGCCUCUGGGAACUAACAAUUGGUAUCAAAGCAAGUUCUCUCAAUCAGCCUACAAAUCUUGAGUAGAUCCAAUGGCCAUCUGAUAAGCGAAUCAAAGACUAGAGGAGGCAGCAAGCCACCAAUGUGCAACAAAGAUAAAUUUGUUAACUGGAAAGUUCGCAUACAAGCAUACAUGGACUCAAUAGAUGAACUAUUUGAAACUAUCAUGAAUGGGCCCUACAUUCCAACAAAGCUCGCGCCAACUCCAGAAGAUCCAAACCGAGUCCAAAUCAAGGUUAAAGAUGAAUGGACUGACAACGAAAAGAAAGUUGUCCAACUAGACAACAAGGCCAAGACAUUUUGUUCCAGUCUUUAGAAGAUGAUCUGUUCGAGAAUGUGGUCAACAACAAAACUGUCAAGGAAGUAUGGGAAGCAUUGCUCAAUAUGCACGAAGGAAUUGAAGAAGUCAGAGAAAACAAUCUCCUCUGACUCAACAAUAUGAAAUGUUUGCCCAUGUUCCAGGGGAAAAUGUCACUUCCACCUAUGAAAGAUUUAAUGUUCUGCUCAACUCUCUUCGAGGUUUUGGAAAAAUCUAUCCAAAUAAAGAUCUGAUCAUAAAGUUCAUGAGAGCCUUACCAAGCAAGUGGGAUGCCAAAACCACUGCCAUCAGAGAAUCAAAGAAUCUCCACAAAAUGAUUGUUCAAAAACUCUAUGGCAACCUUCUCACCUAUGAACUGGAGCUGACUCAACGAGCAGAAACUUUAUCUGAAGGAAGAAAGAAGGAAAAAGGAGUUUCUCUCAAAGCAACAGAUGCCAUCUCCAAAGCUAACACUAAAAAUAACUCUGACUCUGGAAGAUGAUGAUGAGGAUAUUGCAAUGCUGGUAAGAAGACUCAAGAGGUUCAUAUGUAAAGGCAGAAGCAGCAAACCUAAGAGAUUCAACAACAACAACAUCCAGGAGUAGAUCAAUGACUUAUGCUACAACUGCAAGAAGCCUGGCCAUUUUAUUGCAAACUGCAACAAACCUCUUAGAGAAGAACUGAAAAGGAAAACAAAUCCAAAGAAAGAGUUCAGAGGCAACAAGAAGCUCCAGAAGAAAGACAAAGGUCUUGUGGCUGGAGGAUCAUGGAGUGACUCAAACAACGACACAACUCUUGAGUCUGGAGAUGAUGAAGAUCCUCAAGUAGCAAAUCUAUGUCUAAUGGCCAAAAAUGCAAAUGAUAAGAAAAGCAUUGACAAUCAUGAAGUAAGUAUCGAUGAGGUAUUUGACUUUAACUCUCCUGAUGUAGAUAUUGAUGAUUUAAGAACUGCACUACAUGGCAUAACGUUUGAUCUACAUCAAUACAUGAAAUGGUUCAGAGUUCUAUCAAAAGAUUAUUCUCUUCUUCAAAAAGAGAAAGAGAAAGUUCAAGAAGAACUUGAAAUAGCUCUUUUAAGUGCUAACUCCCUCUCUAAACUUGAAGCUGAGAAUAAACUCUUUAGAUAGACCAAUGAACUUAAUGCACAAAGAGAGUCAAAUCUAACCUCUAAGAUUGAGGAACUAGAAAAGACAUUCUUAACAUGGAAUAGAUCCUCUUCAUCCAUGGACUCCCUGAUCUCCAGUCAGAGAACAUCUGACAGAACAGGUUUAGAUUUUGGGGAAUCCUCCUCAGAACCACAUGUGGAAAAGUCAAAGGAAACUAACAUCAGCAGUGCUUCAAACAUCAAUAGAAGCAUUACAUUUGUGAAAUCCUCACAGAAGGAAAAACCAUCCCAUCCCUGCUCUUCUGAUCCAAUCUAUGUUACAAGGCAUAACGGAUCCCAUGCUGGCCUAGGGUUCAGAAAAGAGAAGAGUAACUUAGUCACUACUCUCCAACCUCGAAGGAUCCUGUAGUCGAGUAAAAUCAACUCCACGAACCAAUCAGGUGGGAAUAGUAGAGUUAAGUUACACUCUUCACAAAUCAUGAAUCACAAGGACACAUUGAAAAAAAAGAAUCAGUAUUAAGGAAGGACUGGCAGAAAUCCACAUAAGUCCAAAUGGAGAAAGAAUCCACACACACUCAAAAGCAUGCAUCAUGUUUGAUGUUUUGUAUGUGAUAAAAUUGGUCAUAAGGUUGCAAUAUGUUAUAAUAAUCCUAUGCAUAUCAAACCCAAAGUCAAGCAAAUUUGGGUUCGCAAGGGUACUAACAAGAUAGGACCCAUGCAAGUAUGGGUACCAAAAUGAGAGCUUAAAUAUCACUGCAGGAACAGAGCUCCACGAUUACAACUUGGUACCUGGACAGUGGAUGCUCACGACACAUGACUGGGAACAAAGUCCUCAUUUCCAACUUCAUAGAGAAAGAGGGUCCAACAGUCAUCUUUGGAGACAAUGGCUCUGGCAAGACAAGAGGUUAUGGCUCAGCUGGGAAUGGUGCAGUGUCCUUCAGCAAAGUAGCCUAUGUGGAAGGACUAAAACACAAUCUUUUGAGUAUAACCAGCUCUACGACAAGGGUCAUCAAGUUACCUUUCUCAACAAUCAAUGUCAAGUCAGAGACCUGAAGACCUCUUCCAUAAAGCUGACCGGAACAAGAGAAGGAAACGUCUACACUGUUAAUCUUGGUCAACUGAGUUCUGACGAGACAAUAUGCUUUCUGGCUAAAGCCUCUGAAGAAAUGAGCUGGUUGUCGCAUAGAAGGCUGUCUCGUCUCAACUUCAAAAGCAUGUCAAAACUGGCCUCCAAGGAUCUAGUAGCAAGCUUACCCAAGCUCAGUUUUGUCAAAGAAAGGCCAUGCAACGCCUAUCAACUUGGAAAAUAAACUAGAAGCUCAUUCAAAAGAAAAAUGGUCAACUUAAUUGAUAAGCCCCUGCAGUUGCUACACAUGGAUUUAUUUGGGCCAAUUCCAACAAUAAGCCUUGGAUGGAAGAGAUACUCAUUAGUCGUAGUGGAUGACUACACCAGAUUUACAUGGGUGUUCUUUCUAAACUCAAAAGAUGAAACAAUUUCCCAACUUAUCAAGAUGUUCAAGCUGGUGAUGAACAAAAAAGAAGAGAAAAUCAAGGCUAUAAAGAGUGAUCAUGGUAGAGAAUUUGACUUCUCUGGGAUGGAUCAGUUCUGCUCAGACAACGACAUCAGUCACAACUUCUCAGCUCCACGAACUUCACAGCAAAACGGAGUAGCUGAAAGAAAGAACAGAACGUUGAUUAAAGCCGGAAGAACCCUACUAACAGUAACUCAUCUUCGUGAAUACUUAUGGGCAGAAGCUGUCAACACUGCAUGCUACACUUAGAACAGGCCUCUUGUCCAAUCUACGUUAAAGAAGACCCCCUACAAGCUGUGGAGAGGAAAAAAGCCAAAUGUCAGCUACUUCCAUGUGUUUGGUUGUGCAUGUUAUAUUCUCAACAAUGGAAAAUAGUAUCUGACUAAGUUUCAACCCAAGUCAGAUAAAAUAAUCUUUCUCGGAUAUGCCACAGACAGUAAGGCCUAUAGAGUAUUCAACAAGAAGAUGUUAAGUGUUGAAAUUUUGAUUCACAUCAUCUUCGAUGAAACAAACUUAGACAAAUCUGUGCUUCGAGACACUACUAUAGAUAACUCAGACACAACGAACGAGGUAGUCGAGCUCAACACGACGAUCGUAGUUCCAGAAGAUGAAAUCGUCGAGCCUGAAGAAGAGAUCGUAGAGAGAGCUAUGCCAGACAAUGAAGCUCCAUAUCAAGAAGCAGAAGUUGAUCUUGAGGAAUUCAGACAAGAAGGCAUCAGGACAGAUGUUCCAACAGAAACUAGAUAGGCAAGAGAUCACACUCAAGACCUAAUCAUUGGAGAUCCAAAUGCAAGAGUUAAGACAAGAUCUGCCACCCAGAAUGAGUGUUUCUAUUUAAGCUUUCUGUCACAAAUGGAACCUAAAAAGAUAGAAGAUGCUAUGGAAGACUCAAGUUGGAUAGAAGCCAUGCAAGAGGAACUAAAUCAGUUUGAAAUAAGCAGAGUAUGGAGAUUGGUUCCAAGACCAAGAAGCCACCCAGUUAUUGGCACCAAGUGGGUCUUCAGAAAUAAGAUGGAUGAAGAUGGGGUAAUAACAAGGAAUAAGGCAAGACUAGUAGCCAACGGGUAUUCCCAAGAAGAAGGCAUCGACUACGAUGAGACUUUUGCACCUGUUGCCAGAUUAGAAGCCAUCAGAAUAUUCCUUGCUUUUGCUGCCCACAUGAAGUUCAAAGUCUUUCAAAUGGAUGUUAAAAGUGCAUUUCUGAAUGGUGAACUUCAGAAGGAAGUAUAUGUGGAGCAACCUCUAGGUUUCAUCAAUCCAACUCUCUCUAAUUAUGUGUAUAGGUUAGACAAAGCCUUAUAUGGACUUAAAUAAGAACCUAGAGCAUGGUAUGAAACACUAACUAACUUUCUUAUUGAAAAUGGCUUCAUUAGAGGUAGAGUAGAUACCACAUUAUUUCUUAGGAAGCAUAAAAAUAAAUUCUUAUUAGUUCAAAUAUAUGUAGAUGACAUUAUCUUUGGCUCUACUGAUAAAAAACUGUGCAAGAGAUUUGCCAAGCUUAUGCAGAGCAAGUUUAAAAUGAGUAUGAUGGGUGAGCUGAAUUUCUUUCUUGGAUUACAAGUAAAGUAGACUGAUGAAGGAAUCUUCAUUAACCAAGCCAAGUACAUUAAAGACUUACUUAAGAAGCAUGGAAUGAAAUCAUCAUCUCCCAUGAAAACACCAAUUGCUCCAGCAACCAAGCUUGACAAAGAUGAGAAAGGUAAAAGUAUUAACAUUACUCAAUACAGAGGUAUGAUAGGCUCUCUUCUGUAUCUAACUGCCAGUAGACCAGGCAUAAUGUUUGCAACAUUUAUAUGUGUUAGAUUUCAAGCAAGUCCUAAGGAAUCACACUUAACUGUUGUAAAAAGAAUUUUCAGGUAUCUCAAAGGCACAACUCACUUGAGACUGUAGUAUCCCAAGAAGUUCUCCUUUGAACUGACAAGAUAUACAGAUGCUGAUUUUGCAGGCUGCAAGAUUGAUAGAAAAAGUACAAGUGGCACUUGUCAGUUGUUAGGAAAUAGACUUGUGUCCUGGUUUAGCAAGAAGCAAAACUCAGUAUCUACCUCAACAGCAAAAGCUGAAUACAUUGCUGCUGGCAGCUGCUGUGUUCAAAUCUUAUGGAUAAAAAAUCAGCUAGCAGACUAUGGGUUUGAUUUCAAAUCAAUACAUGUUCAUUGUGAUAACACAAGUGUCAUAGCAAUAACAUAUAAUCCUGUCAUGCAUUCUAGGACUAAGCAUAUAGAAAUAAGAUAUCAUUUUAUUAGGGAUCAUGUCCAAAAUGGAACUAUAUCUUUACAAUACAUCCCUACUAAAAAUCAACUUGCUAAUGUCUUUAUAAAACCUUUAGAUGAAUCCAGAUUUAAUAAAUUGAUAAGUGAGUUAGGUAUGCUAAAUCUGCAACCAUAAACUCUAUGCUCUAGUUUGUGCUAACCAUGCAGAUAAAUGGGUUAUGUUUAAAAUCGUAGAGAUGAAACCACGAUCGUAGAGCAGUCUCGAUGUAAAGCAUCAUGUGAUGAAAUCAUUUCUAUUCAAGUAACCCCUCUGAUAAGCGCCUCAGGACAAACCUAACCCUUAAUUCAGUCUAAGAGGUUGGCCCUUCCUGAGCUACCUUAACCCAGAAGGAAUACUAAGUCAGAGCUCAUCACAAGAACCAAGACAGAUAAUAAUCGUAAAGUAUGAUCAGCAGUAAACUCAAAAAUCGUAGAGUAGCCUCGACGAUCGUAGUCUUCCCAAAGGAUACACUAGCUCAGGGGGAGCUAAGGGCAGAUAAGUAUUUUCCACACUAUUUAAAAUCAUAGAGCCCAGAAGAACUCGACACGUGCCCCACUAUGCAGAUCGUGUGGAGGGAAGUUACAAAUACAUUUUGAAAAGGCUUUUUGAAAAUUCACCUCAGAAUUUCAAAAAGCUCAUUCCUCUCUCUCUAUCAACAGAAACCCUAGCUUUCAGAACGAUCAACCAACCUCAGUUCAAGAAAAUCAAUGGUUGCUUCUAAUGUUAUAUUUGGUUACCAACUCUGCUUCGACAGCUGACCCUCAGUUUCACAAGAUUCUAUCUCUUCUGAAGAAAGCUGGUCUUGAAGAAUCUCUGAGCACUAGCACAAGGAUCUACCCGAAGCUAGUGAAAGAGUUCUACAACAAUGGAGUCUUUGAGAAUGACACUAUCACUACAAAGGUCAAGGGGGAACAAAUGAAACUCAAGGCUGAAGAUAUAAAUCUAGCCCUAGGUUUCAAAUCAAAGGGACUUGCAUCCAUGGACGUCAUCGACUUCCAUGAACGUCUGAAGAAGAUGCGCCACACGAAGUUUCAGAACGUCAAGGGGUACAAGAAGAAAGAGUUUCCCCAAAAGUAUGAAUUUCUGGCUAACAUUGUUGGGAAGUGCAUAUGCUGUAAAAGUUCUAGCCACAACUGUGUAAAUGAAUUUCAACUAAAGCUCAUGACAUCAAUCUGCUUCGGGAUUCAACUCAACUAUGGGGCUCUACUUAUAGAUUAGAUCGGGAAGUGGAUACUCAGCUUAAAGAAAUCAAAGAGCUCUGGGAAAAUGCUCUAUGGGAGGUUCAUAAGCAUAAUCCUGCAAUCUGCUUUAGGUGACAAAUUUGGGGACAACGAAUGGGAACCUAUCAACCCCAACAGAAGAAUGACCCAACAACUGUUUCAAAACUGGAAAAGAAACCCUGCAGAAAAUGUCAGGAUGAUGUCUGAAUCAAGUGAAAGGACUGGUGAAGAGAAAGUAUCUAGGCUACCAGGAAACAUGUCGGUUAUGAAGGAAGCUAAUGAAGAAGAAGAAAUUAACCAAGAAGAACCCAUUGCUUUGAUCAGAAAGAGCAAGGGUAAGAAAAAAAAUGGAAGUUCAAGCAACAGAAGAGCCUUAAGGCUCAACCACUGAUACGCCCCAAUAGAGUUCGGGCAUUGAAAUUCUAAAGGAAAUGAAGAGGAAAGAGUAGCAGUCUGAAGAGGAAGAAGAUAGGGCCACCAUCUCUCAACUGCUUAAGAAGGGAAAACGCAGCCACAAAACAAAGAAGUCUUCACUCUAUUCGAUCAUAGAGUCACUACCGAUCGUAGAGUCCAGACCUACCAUCACUUCAGAAGUGGAUAUGCAGCAUAGUCUCAUCCUGAGCCAAUCGUCAGAGCUGAAGCUAAAAAAAGCACCGAGGCUGAAGCUCAGCCCAGAAAGAUAAGGAGAAAGCUUGUCAAGAAAUAUAUUCUUGAAAAUGAGAAAGGAAAAUAUCUAUAGAAAAAGUGCUUCCUGAAGUUCCUGCACUAGAAAAUGCUUCAGCUAAUGGGGAGCUGCCUGAAGUACAAAUGAAUGAUCAGAUUGAGGGGAAGACUCUCGAAGUUCCUAUGCCAGAAAAAGCUACAGCUGAGGGGGAGAUACAAGAGGAUAAGGAGAUCGAAGGUGUAAAAGCUAUGGAGGUAAAAAAGGGUGAAGAUCAGACAAGGUAUGAGGAGAUGUUUGAAGUAGUGGAAAUUUCAAAUGAAGAAAAUGAAGAUCGAGAAGAAGAAGAGGAUGAUGAAGUUGAGAUUAUUGCAGUGGGAUGGGAUGGAUAUAGGAGAGCCAACUACAAUCAGUUAUUUUCCUACUUACCUAUGAUGCCUAUCAUAGAGCCCAAAUUCUCAACUCCUAGGAUCACAUGUUCUGGACUUUCAAAGCUUAUCCAUCAAUCUCAGUGCUUGCUCACGGAUUCCAAGGCAACCUCACGUUUGCUCAGAAGCUAAUAACUAACCAUCCUUCUUUAGAAAUUGGGCGUGAGGUACAAUAAAUUCCCAUCUCUUUCAGAGUUAGACAUUGUCCUCCAUCAAACUUCAACCAAUUCUACGAAUUGCCAAGAUGGUUGGAAGUGAUACUUCAUCCACUAAACCAAUUUCCAGCUACAGAAUCCCAACAUUCUGUAACUGGUGAACCAAAUAUGUCUAAUUUUAUAUUGAUCCAGUCUCCCACCAUCUCUCACUCUACGAAUAUCGAUCCUACUCAUAUCGUAGAGUCGCCUACUCAACCAGCACCAACAUCACCUCCUCUUGUAACUCAAAUUCACAUACCUGCACCCCCUUCAGAUAUUCCUUCCUCAUCAAUCAAUAAUUAUUUUGAUCUUGCCCUUGAUCUCUCCAAUCUGCAACAUCAAAACACAAGAGCCUCCCCUCCAGACACUCAGCAAAUUCUUGAGCUUCUCUCAGAUCUUCCUACCAAAUUUGAGUUGUCUAAUCCAUCACAAAAAGUGACUACAGAUAUUCAAGAUCUUAAAACUCACUCUCUGCUCCAGCAUAUAAGGUUGAAUCACUUAAUAGAUGUUGCCAACACUCUUCCCAGCAAUCUGAGUACUGAGCUCAAAAAUAUGCUUAGGGAGAUCAUCAAGGAAAUGAUCCACAACAUUAAUGAAAGGGAUCAAAUUCACUUUCAGUCUGCCCGGAAGCACAAGGAAGCAGUUCUCUUUCUACAGAAGACUCGGGAAACUCAAAAUAAACUUAUGAUGGAAAGCCUCUCAAGUCUACGAACCUCAAUAAAAGAAUUCCAAGCAUAUUCAAUGAGUCAGAUGCAACAAACAGACACUGUCUUGGCUAUUCUACAAAAGAACAGGUCUCGGACUGAUUCUCUAGUUCAAGAAAACCGUGAAGACAUUGCUCAAUCCAGGAAUCAACUCCACGAACUUGUCCAAGGCAUUAAUCGUCUAUCUGAAGACAUUCGUACCCUUGAUGCUGGCAUAAAGGGGGAGAAUAAAGGGGAAGGAGAGAAAGGAAAAGGCAGAGGGAAAUUCAUUGCUCAAUCUUCAAGGAGCCCUCCCUCAAGACAGCCUCGCCAUCAGACUUCACGACCUAAACAGCAGCAACGCCAACCAAUUCUUAUUGCGCAACUGCUAAGGAGUCGAGGGCCAUCUCCUAGCUCACAAGGGGUAACCACUACUAGCCUAAAUAUGCCAAUUAGAGAUCCUGCCUUUAUGAAUAGACAUGAUCAUGGAGAAAGGCUAAGUCAAAGCGAGUUGGAAGAUAUUGUAUGGAGAGACGAAGCCAGCAGGAGAAGGAGAGCUGCAGAGCAUUCCAAUCCUCCAAGAAACAAAAGGCAGAAGAAAUAGAGAUAAGUUGAAACGUAUUUCUUAUUGAUGUAACUAUGCUUUAUUGUAUUAUCUGUCUACUCAUACAUUAAUAAAUUCAUGUUUAUUCUCUAGAGAUUUUAGCUGUUCACUGAAAUAUUAAGUCAUAUUUACUUUCUAGCAACUGCAUUUAGAAAUUGAUGACUAUGAUACAAAUCUCCUUGGUUAUGUCAACAUCAAAUAGGGGGAAAUUGUUGGGUAUUGCGUAUUUAAAUUUGAUGUUGAAAGUAAAUAGUCAUGCUUAUAUGUAAAGUCCUUCAAAGAACAUAUGUACAAGGACUUAGAUGAUAGAUCAAAAUUGUGAGGUUGAUAUGUGCUUUAUGUUUAUCAUUCUGUAAAUGAAUGUAUAAAAGAAAAGAUCAAAGCUGUUAGGUUGAUCUAUUUUUGAGAUGUAAUAGAUAGGCUUCAAUAGAAUCGUAGUCUAUCAAGCCAGCCAAGAGUUUGCAGAAGCCAAGGCAGAAUCGUAGAGCAUCGAGAAUCGUAGUCUGUCUACUUUGGAGGGCCUCUCCCAAUAUCUUAGAGUGGUCCAAAUGCCUGCCGAGCAAAAUCAAGGAUCGUAGUUUGUUCUCGGAAUCGUAGAGUCUGUAAAUCAAGCAAGCGAAGAUCAUAGUCUAACAGUGCUUAAGAAAAAUCGUAGUGUUCUCCUCUAUCAAUCCGGAUCAAGCACAAAUGUGGUAAGACACCACGAUCAUGAUCGUAGUGCAUCAUCUGUCUGCAUCAGAAGCAUUGAGCUUUGUCUAUUUGUUUAAAGAUAAAUUACAACAAAUGUGGAAUGGAUUAUAGACGUUGAAACUCUCGGGAAUCCCAAUGACACAACACUCAUCCUUAGUAUAUAAUAAAGAAACGUAUCGAAGAAGCUAAGGAAAAUACUACAUGUCAGUUGAAAACACCUUUUCAGAUGUUAGGUGAGAUAGCAGUCUGCUAUGUCAGUGGGCUAGACGGCUGGACAGAAGAUUUUCUGGAAGUCACCAUCAGUGCUCAGAAAUGUCAAAUACAAUUAAUGCUUCAACGGAUGCCUUCAAACAAACAUAUUUCAAUGGCACCGUAUAUACAAAUCAGAUGGAGAUACAAGAAAAGAAGCGAGCACAUAAUGAAAAGAUGAAGAACACUCGACGCUCAACUCUACGAUCUAGAAAGAAAGCUUGCUUAGAUACUCAGUUCUUUAGAACACGUGUUUAACAGCAACUGAGCAGCCUAACUCAAAGAACUCAACUCUCAUCAAGUGUAUUCCAAGUGUAUUCCAUGUAUGCUGGACUUGAAGAGUUCUAAAUGAACUAAGAAGCUCCAAGACUGUUGGUCUUGAAGGAAUCUAUGAGAUUCAAAGAUUGUAAAGACAUCCUUAGUGGAUUUCUUACUCGAGGAGUAGAAGAGUGGACUAGAAGCCUUGAGUGCUCUGAACCACUUAAAAUUUGUGUCUUUUAUAUUCUUGCUUUAACUGAUUUAUUUGUCAUAACUGCUUGUCAACUAUUAACUCCGUUUAUCUUAAAGGGGAAUAAACAAAUCAUAUAUUCCGCUAAAAUUGAUUAACAAAUUUGACGAAGUAUUUUGAAUUUUUUUUUAAAAUAUCUAUUCAACCCCCCUUAUAGAUAACUAUUGUGCCUCUGGGAAGUAACAUCUUCCUUCAUAUAGCGUUCAACAAUAGAUCCCUUUACACGAGCUUUGUUUUUUACUUUCUACUUUAAUCGACACAUAUACAUGAAAUACGUUGAUUAGACGGAAUUAAUUAAGAAUAUGAGUUGUAAAUAUCAUAAAAAUGUAAUUUGUAGAUGAUAUUACCUCUCAAAAGUAUAAAUCCACAGAUAUUGCACCGGUCCUCCAAGUUUAAGUUCAUAUGCUAGAUGAAUAGGCAGAUGCUCCAUUGAGUCAAAGAAUCUUAGAGGGAAGAUCAUUUCGAGAUGGCACAUUGUAAGCACAAUAUUGUUCUCCAUCUGCUCUACAUUACUGUACUUUAUAACCAUUGAGCAUCAAUCCCGAAACAAAUUUGAAAGUCCGGUCAAGGCAUCUAUAAUUUAUCUGGGUAACAUCUCACAAAAUGCAAUUGGCAUGAAUUCUACAUAAAUACAUGACAAUCUUGACUCUUGAACCCAUUAAUUUUCAACUACUGAACCUUAUUGCAACGAGAUAUGUUAGAAGCAUAUCCAUCUGGGAGCUUCAACGCAUUUAACCACUUGCAAAUGUCUUCAACCUAUUACUUGGUAAGACAAAAUGCAGUUUUAGGUUUUGAAUUGUUAGGGUGAAGCCACAAUUCUCGCCUGAUGUUCAGUGCCUCCAAAUCUUUUCAUACAUUGUCAUUGUCUUUUAUUUUACCACUCGCAUCUAACACGAUGUAAAACAAGUUCUCAAAUACAUUUUUUCUAUAUGCAUGACGUCUAUACAAUGAUAGACUGAAAGCGUGACCCAGUACGUAACUCAAACCACAUGAGCGAGUGUUUCCAAUUAUGAGUCUUUUCGUAGCAUAAUGCUCUCAGCUUACUGUGUUUCUUCCCUAACGGUGGGAAUGUUAGUUCAUUCAGCUAACCCAAAACCUCGCUGCCCGACAGUCGACCAACAACCCCCUUCUUUUAUGUCUUUAUGUUGAACUAUUCAGACAUCUUUCUGUAACUGCGAUCAACAUGCACGAAUCUACGAAUUAUCCCAAAGAAACUAGUUUUCCGCUUAUGUUGCAGUUGUGUGCUUUGCACAUCUCCCAUAUACACUGGACAUGACAGCUUCUCGUGAGUCGACCAACCACUUAUCAUCCCAAGUGUCGGAAAGUCAGUGAUUGUCCACAACAAGGUUAACUUCAUUAUAAAAUUUUGUUUGACAAAUUUAUCAUACGUUUGGACCCCCAUCUCCCACAGUAUUUUAAGUUCAUCGACUAACGGCCUGAGGUACACGUUUAUGUCUUUUGUAGGACUUUUAUCUCCCGGUAGUAGGAAUAAAGUCGAGAACAAAUACGGAUCCCUCAUGCACAUUGACGAUGGAAGAUUAUAAGUUAUUAUGAUCACUGACCAAAUAUAAUAGGGUUGGCUAAAAUUAUUAAAUGGGCAGAAGCCAUCUGUAGCUAUGCUGAGCCUCACAUUCCUGAUUUCCUCCGUAAACUGUGGAAAACUUUCAUCAAACUUCUUCCAUUCAUCUUCAUCUACAGGAUGACUCAGCUGACCAGGCACGAUAUCCCUUGUUCUAUGCCAACUCAUAUGCUUAGCAGUGUAAGACGACAUGAAUAGUCGUUGAAGCCUCGACAGAAGAGGAAAAUAUCGUAAGAUCUUCUUAGGCACAUGCUUCUCCUUCCCACCACGUUUUGUCGCCUUGUACCGAGUCAAGUUGCAUAUAUCACAGAGUAACUAGGGGAGGGUAAGACAUGAGAGAGAAUUGAGAGUUGUAGAAUGAAAGGGCCGACUGGGGGAACUGAUAUGAUUUUAGGUUUUUAAUUAUUUACAACGGAAAUUUCGUUGAAAAUAAAUCCCUUGAAAUUACCUAUUCUCGACAGAAAUUCCGUCAAAAAUAUAUCUCAUUCCAUUGAAAAUAUGAUUGGCGUUGGUGGGAAAGUUGGCGCCAAGGAAUGAAUCCUAUCUUUGAUGAAAUUCCGUUGGGACUAUUAUGCUUACGACGAAAUUAUCUUUCACUGAAUAUUCCGUCAGAAAUAACCUUAUCUCGACAAAAAAAUAUUCCGUCGAAAAUAAUUUCAUUGGAAUUAAAUCUUUUCCUUGUAGUGAAUACAAUUAAAAACACAAUUAUAUAAAUACUUCGCAAUCAAAAUUCAAAAAUAAAAACACUUGAUAUUGAAAACUAGUACAACAAGUGAACAAACACUACGUAAAAAAUAAAAAAUCAACCAAAUCAAUACUCAUCGCACAUUACAAGUCUAAUAAAUAAUAAAAUUAUACCAUAAGCUAGUUUAGGGGUUAUGACGAGUCAUGGAUACAAAAUGACUUAAUAACUUAAUAUGGGCCAGCUACCAACCAUGAGCCUUGGCAGCUUGGCAUCCAAGGAUGCCUAGCCAUGGCAACUAUACUAUAAGCAGCAAAAAAAAUUCUGUGAACUUUGAGGCUGCAGCGAAGCCGCUUAAGAUUGUGCCUUCAACAUUUGAACUGACACAAAAGUCUUCGCAGAUAGCCAUUUUCUUCUUCCCAUCCCAAAGGCAUUUCUCCUCUUUGUCAAUGCUCGCAGCUGGAAAAACACUACCCUUGUGCACAACACGCAAAAACAAUAAAAAAUAACACACAAAAAAAGAUGACGAAAUUUAGGUUAUGGUGAAUAGUUGAAGCAUCCAUCUUAAAAUAGUAAAAAUUGGAGAGGUCCCUUGAGUAUUUACAUAGAGUUUUCAAAUCAAUUUAAUCAAUGUUGGACUCUAGCUCAAUACACUCCCACCCCCUGUCGCCCCCUGCCCGUUUAAAAAAACAUAAGGGAAGAAGUCGAAUAGUGAACAAAUACUGGCAGGUUAUAAUCUCAUGCAAAAUUUCUCCUUCUCCUUUUGGGUUAAUCAGGCAAGCUUUUUCAAAGCUUGAAGUUUCUAAUAUUUAUCUCUACUAAUAUCAAUAACUAGCAGUCCCAUGGAAGUAUCUCACUUGUUCUAGCUAAGAAUUUGGGAGGUAGUUGGUCCACAAGUAACACAGGAAAAACUGAUCUAGCACCAACCUGCAUCAUCAGACGUAACAUUUUUUGUUUGAAGUUGGCAAAGUGUUGCACUCCCGAGUUCUUCGAAUUUUAACCCGAUAAGAAACGUCUGUUGGUUACCAUGCAAAAUACAAGAAGCAGAACAAUAAAUAAGCGUCAUGUUAACGUCCAAAAACUCCUACUAUGUCUUACUUUUGCUAGCAACUACAAGUGAGAGUAACUUAUCCAUACAAAAAAAUAAAUAAAUAAAAGAAAAAAUAAAAAUUUUACGGUAUGGUUCUUGGCCCAGUGAUAACACUUGCCUUGUGAUUCCAUGUGAUUAAGGGUUCGAUAAUUUGGGUGUGUGAGUGUGCGGAAAUUAGCCACAAAAAAAAAAAGUAAAAAUAAGAGAGAGUUAGUCUUUGAAACAAAUCAAGUCAGAGAAGUGCUUCGAGGAAUAAAAUUUGAUCUUAAUAUAUGGGAUUUGAUUUCAUUAUAUCAUAGUGGGCAUUUCUCCGUUUAGGGCCAAAUCGCUCUGGUAUCUGGUUCAGGGUCUAUUUGACAAAAAGUUACAUCUGCGUUAAUGCUGAUCUUGAUCUUCCCUUAACACGAUCAGGGCAAUUCAACGUAUGAGGAGAUGAUAUGGGAUAUGCAUG